UACGGAAGGUGCGAACGUUAAUCGGAAUCACUGGGCGUAAAGCGCGCGUAGGCGGUUUGUUAAGUGGGAUGUGAAAUCCCCGGGCUUAACCUGGGAAUUGCAUUUCAAACUGGCCGACUAGAGUACGGUAGAGGGAGGUAGAAUUUCCUGUGUAGCGGUGAAAUGCGUAGAUAUAGGAAGGAAUACCAGUGGCGAAGGCGGCCUCCUGGAUCGAUACUGACGCUGAGGCGCGAAAGCGUGGGGAGCAAACAGG
rnacentral:rRNA from 1 species